GGAGUCCUGAGAUAGAAAUUAGAAACAGCAAGACCAGCCAGAGGUCUGGUGUAACAAUAUUUAGGAGAAGCUGGAGUCUUGCUGCUGAACCGUCCGCUGUCAAUUACCGGCUCAAUUACGUAAACUCGGUAUUCUUAGACAAAGUGAUGGAUCCGCCCUCCCCUACCCCAGUUUCCAUUAAUCACAGAAAAGAGUACAGCCACGAAUCCGCUAACACCAAAGGAGGCAGCAGCUGGUGUGUACGUACCUAUCAGAUUUCGCCUGCAACCCCACUCCAGACCUCUAACGGAUGGAAACCGAGUUGAACUCAAGCUAAGACUCAAGCGAAGAUGGAUACAUUCGAAACUGAAGCCGGUAACAUAAGUAUCUCAAAAUAAGGACGAGAGACCUUCAUGAGGUUCAUGUUUUAAAGCUGCAGCACAGAAAUGCAACAGGUCUCUCUCUCAUCCAAAUAACCCCCCAUGAGAAACAAAGCUACUGGGGAUGUCCUACCAACCCAAUCAUUACACAUAAAAUCAAGAGUUCUUUUAAUACUCUUUUCGGAACUCGGGCAUUUACAGACAAUUCAUCUGUUACCCAAAGAAAGGGGAAUUCUUACAAGGAAAUGCCUGUGGUGUGAGUAGAAGACUAAAAGACCAAUGGAAAGACCAGGUCCCAGCCUUGGGUCUCCCCCCCCAGGUAGUUAGUUACACAGCCCCCAGAACAAAGCUUCUUCAUUUAAAUAUGCAACAAUUCCCCUUCGGUGAAAGGAGAAAUGUACUUGGUCUAUUCCGUCAAGUUUUUAGCGAGGACAAAACAAAUUGUAGUCUACGAUUUUAUCCAUGAUUUCUGAAAUUUGUGCCCAAAUCAAGGCGAUACCAUUCAAACGGAAAACGUCACUUUUGUUAAAUGAACUAGAAUGAGCUCACAGACAGACCCAGCUAAGGCUGAGCCAGCCCUUUUGCUUUUGAGGUCAGCAAGUAAUCUAAGACUGGAGAGUUUUCUCUCCGCUGCUUCACUUCCCCCGCUUCGAGUUUCCUUCCUCUAUCUCAGAGAGCUGGUAAAAAUCUUUUCC